AUUUCUGGUCUGUUUUCUUUAAUCAUUCCCAUGAGUGACCACUGUCAAAGACAUUUGCUUUCUGGCCUCUGUGCUCACUUCAUCUCCUUGGGUCUUAAAUGAAUGGUACCUACUUGAGACCCUUUCAAACUGUAGGCUCGGAUGGGAUGGCAACAAUCUUAAUCUAGUCUUUUCUCCUGGAAUGGCUCAUAUUAGUUGACAGAAAAGAAUUUAGGAAAGGUUCUUGAAGAAGGUUGAAGAAGCUUUAGCAGCUUCCUCAGAGCCUUUGCUUAUAACUGUUUGGAGUACAAUAGUGGUUGACUUUUUCAGUUCUUCAGUGUUCCAGAUUUGGGGCUUUAUCAAUUUAUGUUAUAGAUAGAGAACAAUUUCAUCAGCAGAGCUAUUUCCCUUGCAUCUCUGCAGACUUGUUAACCAUAGCCUGAGUCACAUUUUUCUUGUAGGUCUUUGCUGAAAGAGGCAAGAAGCAGCCAACACAUGCUAGCAUUCUGGAGUUCUACCACCACUUUCUCUGAUAACUUAAUUGUAGUUGGUGGGAGGUCUCACUGCCCAAAGCCCUACCUCUUCUACUAAGCCAAACCCGUAUUUAGUUUUACUUGCUGCACCUUACUUCUAGCUACCAAAUUUUGUAUAGGUCAAGAUUCUUGAUUGUAGGUAACAGAAUCUUUAGCUAUUGAACAGAAAGGAAUUGAUUAAGGAGUAUAUAUAGCUUACAGAAUCUUUGGGAGGGCUGAAGAAACAGACCCAGGCUGAGCUUCAAAGAACUACAUCACAAGAGUGGGCUGCCAAAGGAGCUGCUACUUUUGGAACAAUCAGGAAGCUGCCUCCUGCAUUAGGAAGCCGUGAACAGUUGCCAGCUCUAGAGCCACAGCACCUCUGCCAUACUUUGUGCUGGCGAAAAUGGAUACCUCAUGUCCUGCCUCUCUUUCCAUAUAACUGAGUAAAUGUCUCAACUGUGCAGUACACUUAACAAGAAAUUGAAUGAGAGCCAGAAUUGAAUGAUGAGCUUCAUCGUUUUCAUGCAAGAUUUUUAUCCUCUGAAGAAACUGCUAGAGAAGUCCACCUUCACCCUUAACCACUUGGUGCCUCAACUUAAUGCUUUUUAAAUUCAUUUGUUUUUGUUGGAAUUGGGAGAGUAAGGUGUAUUAAGUAAAAUACAAAGUUUA